rnacentral:lncRNA from 1 species
AAGCAUGGAAAUGUGAUAGAGAUAAUUUGACAGUUAGGGUUCAAUAAAAUGACAGUAAUUUUCGAUAUAUAUCGCUCUUAACAUGCUGGCUCGUUAGAGUAUGAAGUUAGUUAUACAUUUAUAGCAGUAAGUGACCGAGCUGAUAAACGUCAAUUCGCAUAACAUGCUCGUUGGAUACAUUUGACAGAUCGUCCCAUUUUGACAGUUUGGGGAGUUAAUUUUAACUAAGUGGUUCUGAGGUCACGAUAAGCUUUAUCGUCGAAGUAAAACUAGUGAAUCGAUCUAUUUUAAAGUAUAAAUAUCCGGUAAGCAUCCGUUUUCCAUGAUUAUAUUGGAAGUUUAUUAGUUAGAAAGUUCGGCUAUGUAUACUAUUCUCAUAAUUUCUUUGCAGGAAAGUCAAAUUAUGCUAUACCUACUCGACGCCGCUGUAGAAGAAAAUUUAGUCGAAAAUUCCAAUUCAAGAGACGCUCGCAACCCGUCUGAUAAGUACGAUGAAGAAAUGGCAUAAAUAAGUAUUUACAGAGUGCAUUUACAGAGGUGACAGUGCAUUUCACAUUCCCCAACUUAACGCCGAGAAUCACAAAUCUAACAACCAUGAUGGAUUACCUAGUGCCCUAAGGUUCUUAAUUACCUAUCCACCCUAGCAGAGCUAGUGCCAACUACCAACACAAGACUAGACAAGAUUAUGGCUCAUCCAUUUGGUAGACUACUGUGAUAUGACCCAGCAUCUCCAUCAAUUGACAUUGUACAUAUCUGCUGUCAACAGAAGGCAAAAAAUUCGUGGUUCAAGAGGAACUAUGGAAGAGGUGCCUCUCGGCCUAUCUAAGCAUGAUGCAAUGCUGCAACUGCUGGCUGUUGUCAAGAGCUGGCGUGCGAGCGUACACAAUAAACAAUUAUUUAGGACA